UUUCGGUUACUGGCCCAAUGCUCUAACCACUAGGCUACCUGGUGGCGCUUGGCUUGUGCACACAACAUUCUGUAAUUAAAAUUGUGUUAUUUGACGUGUAUCUUUUUGGACACGCAAAGACCCAAACGGCGUUCGAUUAAAUUCCAAACCAACACGGCUCCCGGUACAUGUCCUCUAUUCAUUUGAAUGUUGUCAUUUGGCCAACGGUCCAAUAUUCCAACACUGCUACAUGAGUUACCCCGGUCCCAGGGAUGGUUAACUUUGGAAAUUCCUUUGGUCUCUACUGAGUGAGGCAACCCAACGCAACCGCGAGUGGGAGUUCUGAGGGAGUACAGCUACAAUCAGAAGAGGCUUUUUCGUACCAGGCAACCAUAAAGAAAGCACUGGCUGUCGUUGGCGAACCCUCCCACCCUCUACACCCUCAGUUCGAGAGGCUUUCUUCUGGCCGGUGCUUCAGAACGCCCAUGGCCAAGAAGAAUUUGUUCAAACAUUAAUUUGUUCCUUGUGCUGUUGGACUACUAAAAAAGUAAAGUAAAUUGUAUUGGUAUCUGGACCUAUCUAUCUAGUGCAGUUGGGACAGUGGUUGUUGUGAGUGAAUGUAUUAAUGUCCUCUAUGUUGUUGUUUAUGCAACAUGAUGCACUGACUGGUUUAAAUGUGUAUGAUGUGAGAAUGUAUGUGAUUCUUUUAAUGAAGGUGAUGCCAAAGAAAAAUGG